rnacentral:rRNA from 1 species
CAGUAGCCACGGUAAUACGUAGGGUGCGAGCGUUAAUCGGAAUGACUGGGCGUAAAGGGCGCGUAGGCGGUUUGUACAGUCAGAUGUGAAAUUCCUGGGCUCAACCUGGGGGCUGCAUUUGAUACGUGCGAGCUAGAGUGGGGAAGAGGGUCGUGGAAUUCCCAGUGUAGAGGCGAAAUUCGUAGAUAUUGGGAAGAACACCGGUGGCGAAGGCGGCCAUCUGGGACAACACUGACGCUGAGGCACGAAAGCGUGGGGAGCAAACAGGAUUAGAUACCCCGGUAGUCCCUGUCUCUUAUAC